rnacentral:snoRNA from 1 species
UCUCUCUGGAGUCCCUAUCCCUCAAAACUCAACGUUGUUUUGAGCGGCUGAAAAGGGGGAAAAGAAACACUGCAAUGGACCUGGGGUCCUUAGUGACACACACGUUCAUUUCAAACAAAC